UACGAAGGGGGGCUAGCGUUGCUCGGAAUCACUGGGCGUAAAGGGUGCGUAGGCGGGUCUUUAAGUCAGGGGUGAAAUCCUGGAGCUCAACUCCAGAACUGCCUUUGAUACUGAAGAUCUUGAGUUCGGGAGAGGUGAGUGGAACUGCGAGUGUAGAGGUGAAAAUUCGUAGAUAUUCGCAAGAACACCAGUGGCGAAGGCGGCUCACUGGCCCGAUACUGACGCUGAGGCACGAAAGCGUGGGGAGCAAACAGGGAUUAAGAAACCCUGGUAACG
rnacentral:rRNA from 1 species